CUUGCAGCACCUACCAUGCUAGUAUAUCAGAGAACGCUCUCAGACCAACCGCCAGCACCUCGCCUUAUCCAUUCAUGGAUGCUUCGCUUCCAUUCAUUUUUCUCGCCCUGCACUGCUUCCUCCUCGAUCUAUUCUAUCUUUCCACACAUCGAUGACCACCGCGCGCAGCUAGAUCAGGCGGCUCGAAGGGGACUAGAGAUCCAUCGCGCGCUCUCCGGUGAUGCUGCGCCCUCGGCAGCAGUGGAGACUUUUUGCUGCGGGCUGCAAGUCACCGUUGGCUGCCGUUCCAUGUCCGUGCAGCUCCGGUGAUCCCGGCUUCAAUUAAAAUCUUCCCAUGCCACCGGUGGAAGAUUUUUUCUAUUUUUGUUUUGCCCACACGGUUGUAGCUUUUUGAAUCGCUGGUAGCAGCUUUCUUCUUAACCGGUUGAAUCUUUUUUUAAUCACUUUUAGAUCCAGCUUUGGUCCAAAUAGAUGUGAUUUCUGCAAAAAAAUAUUCCAAAUCACCGGUUCCAGCUUACCAAACCACCGGUUGUAGCUUUUUAUUCAGCCGGUUGUAGCUUUUUUGGAUUUUUAGUGUCAAUUCAAAACCAAUGGUUGUAGCUUUUUUUCAUCUGAUUGAAUCUUUUUCAAUCACCGGUUCCAGCUUUUCGAAUCAUCGGUUCCAGCUUUUGCUCAGCUUAAUUCAUCUUCUUUGCUGGAACCAGGUCAUUUUUUGCUGGAGCCGGAUCUUUUUUUUGCUGGAGCCGGCAAAUGAUUUUGCUGUGACGAGUUUCUUGUUGCUUGAAAUUAUUUGCUACGAUCAGGAGGCGGCGACGCAUUUUUGCUGGAACCAUAUUAAUAUUUGCUGGAAUCGUGAUUUAAUUUGCUUCAAGCAAAUUACUGGGUUUGCUAGGUGCUCAAGUUGAUUUGCUGGAAACCUUUGUUUUUCUGUUGGAACCAAUUUUUGGUUCUGCUGCAACUACCCAACGGAGUUCUUUUUUGGGCUGAGAUGUGUUUUUUGGUGGAAUCAGGUGGUGCAGGUCGACUACGGCGUCGACGUUGUGCUGUGAUGGGCGGAGCCAGCGAGAGUUGCUGCGUCCGACGUUUGGCAAAGAUGCAUCCGUCGGGGGGUGGUGCUGAAACGAUGGGGGAUGAGGAGGGUGUGCAGCGACGACGAAUUGGAGCUGCGGAGAGAGGCGGCGAGCGGUGGAGAUCCGACUAGCGGCGGAGAUCCGGCGGGUCAAGUAGCUCUUCCAUGGCGCUCGCGUGAUUUGCAGAGUAGAGAACGGCGUGGACAUGGUCACAUAUUAAUUAAGCAAUCAACCGAAAUGGCUGACAUGGUGACAUGCAUCGGCUAGAAAGAGCAGCAUCUCGAGGAAACGCUGGUGGGUUCUCCGCCGGACACGAGGAUGGACUGCCCCUCUCCGACGGCGCCGGCACCGGAAUCAUCCGUGGACGACAGCGCCUUCUUGCCGACCACCCGGUAGAUCUCGGCGAGGACGGUCUGGAAGGCCUUGUCGACGUUGGUGGCGUCGAGCGCGGAGGUCUCGAUGAAGGAGAGGCCUUCCCACUCGGCGAAGCCCGCGGCCUUGUCGGUGGCGACGGAGCGGAGGUGGCGGAGGUCGGUCUUGUUGCCGAUGAGCAUGAUGACGAUGUUGGAGUCGGCGUGGUCGCGCAGCUCCUUGAGCCACCGCUUCACGUUGUCGAAGGUGGCGGCCUUGGUGACGUCGUAGACCAGCAGCGCCCCCACGGCGCCCCGGUAGUAGGCGCUCGUGAUCGCCCGGUACCGCUCCUGCCCCGCCGUGUCCCAUAUCUGCGCCUUUAUCGUCUUCCCUUCCACCUGAACGACGCAAGUGUUGCAGCAAUGUGAUUAGUUAUGUGUGGAAUAUUUUUGAGCAAACCGGGCAAUAAUGUUGAUGCUA